rnacentral:rRNA from 1 species
UGCAAGUCGAACGGAAAUAAAGGAGCUUGCUCCUUUUGAUUAGUGGCGAACGGGUGAGUAACACGUGGGCAACCUGCCCCUGACUCUGGGAUAACUAUUCGAAAGAGUAGCUAAUACCGGAUAUGAAACCUGGAGACAUCCUCAGGUUUGGUAAAGUUUUCGGUCAGGGAUGGGCCCGCGGCCUAUCAGCUAGUUGGUGAGGUAGUGGCUCGCCAAGGCGAUGACGGGUAGCCGGCCUGAGAGGGCGACCGGCCACACUGGGACUGAGACACGGCCCAGACUCC